AGAGUUUGAUCAUGGCUCAGGAUGAACGCUGGCGGCGUGCCUAAUACAUGCAAGUCGAGCGGUAACACUUCGGGUGACGAGCGGCGGACGGCUGAGUAACACGUAGGAACGUACCCCAAACUGAGGGGAUAAGCACCAGAAAAUGGUGUCUAAUACCGCAUGUGCUCUUCGGAGUAAAGCUUCGGCGGUUUGGGAACGGCCUGCGCAUGAUUAGCUUGUUGGUGAGGUAAAAGCUCACCAAGGCGACGAUCAUUAGCUGGUCUGAGAGGAUGAUCAGCCAGACUGGGACUGAGAACGGCCCAGACUCCUACGGGAGGCAGCAGUAGGGAAUUUUCCACAAUGGGCGGAAGCCUGAUGGAGCAACGCCGCGUGCAGGACGAAGGCCUUCGGGUUGUAAACUGCUUUUAUCUGCGACGAUUAUGACGGUAGCAGAUGAAUAAGGAUCGGCUAACUCCGUGCCAGCAGCCGCGGUCAUACGGAGGAUCCAAGCGUUAUCCGGAAUUACUGGGCGUAAAGAGUUGCGUAGGUGGCAUAGUAAGCGAACAGUGAAAGCGUGCGGCUCAACCGCAUACACAUUGUUUGAACUGCUAAGCUUGAGGACAAGAGAGGUACCUGGAAUUCCUAGUGUAGGAGUGAAAUCCGUAGAUAUUAGGAGGAACACCGAUGGCGUAGGCAGGGUACUGGCUUGUUCCUGACACUAAGGCACGAAAGCGUGGGUAGCAAACGGGAUUAGAUACCCUAGUAGUCC
rnacentral:rRNA from 1 species